AGAAGCUAAGAGCCAGCACUUGUUCACCAUGUGCUCAUUUCCUGUCUCUAUGACAGGCUGCCGUGCUCCAGUUUGCGAAUGCCCAUCCACCUGUGAAGGGCUGAGCCAAGCCCUGGGCACGUGGCUUCAUCUCCUGUGUCAAUUCAGGCAAGAGGAAGAGAGAGGAGGAAGCUUCUAGAUCCAAGCCAGAGGAGGUGGAUGCAGCAUCUGCCGCCCACAGCUUUGGGGCCUGGCCCAGCCUCCACCUGGCCGAGACACCCAACCCCGACCCCACCCACAUGGGCGUGCAGAAGAGCCUGAGAUGGUGCACACUGACCCAUGGCAGAGUUACAGUUAUGGAACAAUCCGAAUGACUGAAUCACAGCACCACAGUAAUGAUUCUGCAACACUGAACUUGACUGUCCCAAGGAAAUCACAACUGCCAUCUCAAGAAAGCCUGUCUGCAGCAACCAUUCCAUGGUCCUCAAAGUCGUGGCCACCGGAGAGGCUGGUUUCAAUUCGCCCCCAACUCCGGCUGGAGAGAGUUGAGGAGGAAGGCAGCGGCCUGGGCUGAGUGGGAAAUGCCUGCACUGGAGGGUUGGUGGCCCCCAUGCUGGAUGGAGGCAGGAACGGGAGGCUCCUGGAAUUGUCCUCUCUUCUGCCAGAGAGGGGAGGCGGGCCGUCACUGUGCAGAAGCCCAGCCAGCACCGAGAAGGAAGUGGGUGCCUGUGGGACCCUCGCCUCUCUGCGGAGGGGCCUGUGGAAAUGCAGCCUGUGCCCUGGGCCAGCCCUGCUCCUAGGAGGGUCCUGCUGCCUCAUUUGCUCUCUCUCCCUCCUUCUCCUCUCCACUCCCACCUUUUUUUCUAGGAACUUUGAACCCUCGUUUUCACCCAGUCCCAUCGAGAAGCCAAGUGCUCCCUCCUCAGGCCAGAGCUCCCAGCUGCAGACACAGGUUCAGCCCCCAGCUGAGCGAGGAGCGGCUUCCAUGCCGGGGCCUGCCUCUCUGCCGCUCUCCACCGGUCCUUCGCAGCCGCUCCGAUGCUCUCCACGGGUCCUUUGCAGCCGCGUCCUGGCCCUGAGGCGGUGACACAGAAGCCCACGUCCGUUUCCUUUCUGCUUGCCUGUUUGUAGGUGGGACCAGGCUUCCUGUCUGCCCAUCCCCAGAAGGCAAAGCCUUUAGGUCCCCCCUCUGCUGACUCAGGCACAAAAGGGUUUUUUCUUUCUUAGUUUUGGAAUCUGAGUGGAAGGGCACAUGCUGUGGAUCAUAUUCUCCUUCUAGUCUCUCGGUUGCUCACGUGGGAGUAAGUAGGAGCUGUGGGACCUUGUCCUUAAGCCAUUAAAGAUGUGGUGAGUUUUAUUGAGCCUGCUGCCCACCCUGUGAUAUCUUUUGCUGGUUUGCUUCUCCACAAGCAGAUUCCAGACAAGGAUCAGUGUCUGUGGGGUGGUCUCAGGAACACCUUGUUGGGAGUGGGGGUGAAACAGAAGAGGCAAGAAUCCCAGGCUGGGAGCAGGCCCUGCACGGGCCACUGAGCUCAGCCCACUGGGGCGUUGGGGAGUGGGUGUGCUUCUGCCUUCAUGACACCUGGGGCCUCGGGGUCUGGAGCGAGCUCAGGGAGGCCCCACAGAGUGUGGGGGCUGCAGGCUGGUCUUUUCUUCGCUGACCGCUGAGGCUGGGGCCUCGUCCUGCUUCUGUGCUGUGCUUUGCGUUGCCAGAGAGAACCCCAGCGGGAGUGAUUCAGGAGGCGGGCGCUGCCACGUCCUGACUGCAGAGAACCUCCUGGAGAAACAGAAGCCAUGGGUCCUGAUGCCCGAGCCGGCGACGACUCUGAGCACACUGUGAGCAGAGAACCUCCUGGAGAAACAGAGGCCAUGGGUCCUGACGCCUGAGCCAGCAACUUACUCUGAGCACACUGUGAAGGGCGGCUGUGAAUUUUUCUUCUUUCUCAAACAACGAUGCAAUCAUUGGGAUCACUUGUCCUCCUGGGAUGGGUUUGUGUGAGACUGAUGUCUUCCGAAAAACACAGCCCCAAGGGAGUCGAGACGAUGUACCAGGUAGAAUAAGGCACAGGGGAGCCGCUUGACAAAUCAGACGACGGCAGCCGGCCUGCCUGCCCGGGUGAUGCCAGCGAGUUGUGUUUCUGAGAGACGAAGGAAGCCUUCCUUCCAGGUUUCCACGUGGAGCAGUGCCUCUCUGCGUGGUUCCUGGCAGCAGGGGAUGCCAGGCUGCAGUGGCAGAAUGUUGAGCUGCAUGGCCGGCUUCCACUCAUGCGAAGCCAGCAGCAACCCCCUCCUCAGGGGUGACAACCAGAGUGUCCUCCAGACACUGCCAGAUGUCCCCUGGGGGGAACUGUCUUUGGCUGAGAAUCACUGCUUUAGACGGAUGAUGAUCGUUUAAAUGGACAGUGCUGUUCCUGGCUCCAAGCAGUCAGUUCCCUCCCUCCCUGUUUACUUACAAAACAGCCGCAUCCCCGGGAUUACGAGUGAGCCAGCGGAGGUGUGACCAAAGAGAUGUCACAGUUCGCUUUUCUUUGUGAUCAAUACGUGGAAUGAUUUAGGGGCCUGUGUUAAAAUUACAAAUCUUCUAUAGAAGAUUUUGGCAGCAAAAUAUUUUAAAAGCCUACGAAAUAAACAGAGAUGGCACAUUCAGAGGCUCCAAAUCACAGAGCAAGGAACUGCAUCCACAGUAGCUUUUGCCUUCCUCCUCUGCCGCUGUUUUGACUCAUUGAUCUUUGGGUCUGGUGGAUUUUUUGUGUUGGGGAGAGAAGAGGGAAGAGGCAGGAGGGCCAUUCUCAUGGCAAGCUGAGGUCUCAGGGGCCGGGCUGGGAGUUAGGGGGCGCUGGGGUCCCACCCAGGUGGCAGGGCCAGGCAGGUCAUGGCACCUGCUAUGGUCGUGCUGAAGUCCUGGAGGCAACAACCAUUGUUACUUCUAAACGAUACCAAGAGGGAAAGAACACAUCCCUUCAACUUUUCCUUAAGGAGAUCUGUAAGGCAGGUUGGAAGAAUUUGAAGUCCUUCUGCCUUCGCAUGAACAAAAAUGUGAAGGGGGUUUUUAAAACUCAGAUUUGAUCUUUACAGUAACCAGAUGGAUUUUAUUUCAACAUGCCAGAGUUUCCACAUCACGUCACCACUGCACUUCAACGUGCUGUUCUUGAGGCUGUUUAAAGUUCAGCCUUGGCACCUGACAUGGCGCAUCUGUUUUAACUCCAGGCGUGGGGGCUCCUGGGGAAACGACGACUUCUGAUGCCUGACCACCCCCAGGCUGACGCCCUCCCUCCUGCCCAGGGCUGAGGCUGGACCCAGGGCACCUCCUUCGAAUGGCCUCUCUCUUCCUCCCUAACACAGAGCAAUCAACAGCUGUAUAAAAUAAUUGCCCUAAAAUCACAAAUUAAAAGAAAAUCAGCAGCC
ensembl:lncRNA LINC01164 long intergenic non-protein coding RNA 1164